UUCAAUGCGGUGAGUCUUCCCCGAUUUUGAUGUUGCCGCGUGGUGAAGGGGAAUGACGGCGGUGUUCCCCGCGCGGUGAAUCACCCCGCAACCGCCCCGUUCACCCUUAGUACUCAGAUUGUUGUAGGUUAGCCACCUCCUCAUUUGGUUCUAGAUCUACUGCUGUGAGUAACCUAAACAUGUUGAUAGGGUUGGAUUCAAAUGGUUUUAAGCCUGAGGUGUUGACUCUGGCUGGGGGUAACCAAAAUAUGCUCGACGGUCCUGCCAGUUCUGGUUCACCUAGUAGAUGUGACAGCCACAAAAUGGAAAUGAAUUUGAAGUUAGGCACAUUGUUUAAGCAUGAAUUACUUAUGGGCUGCAGUUCAUGGGUGCUACUUCUUCUAGGAAAGUGAAAAAGAUGUUUGCACAUUGUUUAGACAAUGAUAAUGGUAGUGGCAUUUUUGCAGUUAGGCAUGUUCAACCAAAAGUUAAUUUAACACAUUUGAUUGAGGACCAAUGACUCAGAUACAUUACACUGUCAAUGUGACCGGGAUUGAAGCUAAAACAUUGGCAUAUCUCUCAGAAGUGAUCUACGAGCCAUUGGUGAAUAAAUUGACUUCUUAGUAUUUUUCUUAUGCGUUUACUGUUGAUUGAAAUUGCAAGUGUUAGCUUAUUUG